rnacentral:rRNA from 1 species
ACUUUUGUCAGGGAAGAAAAGGCUGUUGCUAAUAUCGACAGCUGAUGACGGUACCUGAAGAAUAAGCACCGGCUAACUACGUGCCAGCAGCCGCGGUAAUACGUAGGGUGCGAGCGUUAAUCGGAACUACUGGGCGUAAAGCGAGCGCAGACGGUUACUUAAGCAGGAUGUGAAAUCCCCGGGCUCAACCUGGGAACUGCGUUCUGAGCUGGGUGACUAGAGUGUGUCAGAGGGAGGUAGAAUUCCACGUGUAGCAGUGAAAUGCGUAGAGAUGUGGAGGAAUACCGAUGGCGAAGGCAGCCUCCUGGGAUAACACUGACGUUCAUGCUCGAAAGCGUGGGUAGCAAACAGGAUUAGAUACCCUGGUAGUCCACGCCCUAAACGAUGUCAAUUAGCUGUUGGGCAACUUGAUUGCUUAGUAACGUAGCUAACGCGUGAAAUUGACCGCCUGGGGAGUACGGUCGCAAGAUUA